GCCCUUUGGGUAAAGGCUAUAGCAUCUGCUUUUCAUGCAGAAGGUCCCAGGUUCAAUCCCUAGGUAGGGCU